GUGGAGGGAAGCUCAGUGCUGAGGCUACAGACAGAGUGUAGGGGUCACUCUAUGUGCCUCAGGGAAGGUCUGAGACUGGAGCUCCUAGUUGCCCCUGCAGGGCAUCCCUUGGAUGAAGGGGGUGGGUCCCCAGAGAACUUGGCUCUGAUUGGCCAGUGAGUGCAAAAGAUGCAGCAAGUACCCAAUGUUGUGCUUCUGCAGAUGCAAAGGCAUCAGGCUUGGCACUGCCCCACAGCUGGCACAUUCAAGCUCAAUGGCUGAGAGGGAACUGCCUGUGGUUUCCCAACCCAAUUCAGACUACUCUCCCUCCAC
ensembl:ribozyme RNaseP_nuc Nuclear RNase P